rnacentral:lncRNA from 1 species
GCCGCGGCCAGGAUUUCCCACCUCGCUCCCGCGACUCCGCUGCGGGGGUACUUAACCGAAACUAGCAAUCCCAGGCGGUACAAGGCCCUCCAUCGUAGGCAAAGCACUACCUGAAUGUAGAUUUGGGCCAUACGUUGGAAAAUAAGACAUGAGAGUAUGCUCCGAUCAACUUUUACUGUUCACUGGACAACUAUUUUGGGAAUUUGCAGACCUAUAAAGCCCAUCUAUAAAUCUCAAGCAUGUCCACUUUCAGAGAAGAGAAAUGCUGACAACCAUUUAGUCUCUGAGGACAACACUUUUAAAGUGUAACAAUGUGGCAUCCAGAGCUUAUCCAGAUGAGCGGAGAGCAAAUGAAUUUCCUUCUGCUCCCCUGUUGAAGAGGAGAGAAAAAUUCUUCAAGCUAGCCAGAAAGGUACAUUUCCUCUUCAUGUGUUCUCACUUCCAUCCUUUACCUCGGUGAAAAGACGUUUUCCUUCCGUACACUCAUCAGUCCAAGAGGGAUGAAGCUUGUGGAAAUUUUGCAGCAGCCUUCCCUGACCAUGGUGGCCUGAAGUGCACCUUUUAUACAGGACUCCAUCAUAGGACUGGAGAGAGAUUGGAUGUCAGAGUGAUUGAUGUGCUCCUACUGGAAGAAGGCAAACAUCCAUAUGUGAACUGCCUGUGGGGUUUCCAAGGAAAGGAACGGCAGGCAGCCUCUAUGAGCUUAAAGAAGAUAACUGGGACUUUAGUCCUAUAACCUCAAGGAACAGUAUUCUGUGAACCAUCUGAGAAGCUUGGAAGAGGACCCCAAACUCCAAAUAAGAAGCUCAGUGUGUCUGACACCUUGACUGCAGGCUUGGGAGGUCCUGAGCAGAAGAUCCAGUUCAACAGUGCCUGGACUCCUGAUCCACAAAAACUGAUAACAAAUAUUUAUUGUUUUAAGAUGCUAAGUUUGUAGUCAUUUUUUAUACAGCAACAGAAAACUAAACACACACAUAAACAGUUAUAAGUGCUCACUGUAUAUGAGGCUUUUCAUUAAUAAUCUAUAUUUUAUAAUAGAAUUAGAAUAUAGAUCUGUGAAGCUGAAGACACUCAAUCCUUGCUAGAUUUAAAUCAGGAAAAUCAGCUGAGAAUCAUUCCUUGAUAGAACCUGGAAAACAAGACCCUAUGAGAGACCCUGGGAAUUACAUUAAAUUCACUGUGGUUCCCAGUGUCACUGAAGAGGUUUUCCUUUCAUAGUCAGGUAGUCACCAUACUGUUAAGCAUUUGAACACAUGGGCAACUUCCAGAAUAGUUAUGACAUUGAUAUACCAAUCUCCAAAAUUCCUAGAAUACCAUGUUUUCAUGGUUGACCUUCAAAUCAGUCAGUUCUUUGUAACAUUGAGCCAUAAAGAUAGGGCAAAUACUUAAUGUUUUACAUAUAUUCAGAGAUUGACCCUCAAAAUACAGCCCAGAGAAACUCAAAAGAAUUAACUCUAUUUCUUCAAAUUGUGUGACGCCACCAAGGCCAGAUGACUUCAGCAUUGGGAAGGCAAUAUCCAGCUGUCAUCUUCUUGAUCCUCAUAUGCUACUACUAGCAUCUAGCAUUUACUGAGCAGAUAGUUUUAUUGUCCAGUUUUUAAAGAUAAGAAAAUUGAGGUAUUAGGAAAGUUAAGUUGGUUGCCUAGGGAAACACGAAGAUAUAGCCCAGAUUCACUCCCAGGCAGGCAGAUGCCAGUGUCUGCUCUCUUUACCACCGAAAUAUCCUGCUACAUGUACAAUUUCAAUAA